rnacentral:lncRNA from 1 species
GAGAUUGUAAAGUGGACUUGUGAAGGCCGUGAGCGAGUUUACGACAUGGCAGGAGUUGUCGUGGGCGGUGGUGGUUGAACAAUUAUGUUGCAAAUUGUUGGUGGAGCUGCAAAAUUGAAGGAGGUCUUGUGGAGGUGGAGACGGAGCGGAAAGAUUUUGAGGUUUAUGAGGUGUAGGAAGGCGGGUUUCCGGCGGAGAGAGAUGAAAGGUUUUGACGACACAAUUUGUGUGGUGGUUCGGCGGUGACGGGAUGUCGUGGAGAAGACGAUGGGGGAUGGUGGUAGGUUGGGUUUGCCGGCGGCGAAGGUGAAAGGUUGUUGAUGACGGUGUGUGAGGGAGCUUUUCGCUGGAAUUGGUGGCGGAUGGAGAGAGGAUGGUGUUUGGUUUUUUAAGGUCAAUGAGAGAGAAGAGUAUCCUUUUCUUUUCUUUUCGUUGAGAGUCUAUGAGUGAGGUACUGAAUAGUGAAUGGGUUAUAUGAAUGAGGUGAGACUGAGAAAGAGUUAAAGUGAGUGAGGUGAUAGCUGGCGUGUGGGAAGCGGAAACGUGCAGUGUGAGGAGAGUGGCAUAGGUGAUAGCUGUCAACUUAAUAAAAGAAUCCAAUGCCACCUUAUUUUAUUAUUUUGAAAAUCAUUUAUUCGUUUUUAACUAAAAUAUGAUUAUCACAAAUAAAAAAUCUUAAUUAUUUAAUUUGAUAUUUUGAAUAAAGAAAUAAAAUGACCGGACUAAAAAUAGAAAUUGGAUAUAAAUUUACUCGAAAAAUUAAAUCGGAUGUACUAAAAUGAUCAGCACAAAAUAUACUUAUUGAAAAAAAUACAGCGUUUCUUUAAAUUUUGAGAUAAAUUUUCACCGGUUAAAAGAGCUCAAGCGGGUCAAAACGCAAUUGAAAUAGCCGCUGAAAAAUAUAACGGGCACACCAGGUUAAACUACGUGAAUCGUAGGUUAAUAAUACUGGCGUCUGCAAUUUUAAUUUUGAAACUUUUUACCCGCUGAUUUUGCAUGUUCUUGAGAAAUGAUUUAACCAAUUUGUCUGUAUUUUCAAUAAAUUUAUUUUGAAUGAUAUUUUAGGUUUUAUUCAUGAUGAAAUGCAUGUCAUGCUGUGCAUAUGAUGCAAAUUAAAAAUGAAAUCGAGUUUACAAAAAUUUAAAUAUGCCCAGACAAAAUUGGGGUAUGACAGUAGGUCAUAAGCAUUGCAUAUCAUGUUGCAUCUCAUCAGUCAAGACUGGUCAGGAGAUUCAACUGUGCAAGGCAACAAGAUCAUUUUCCAUGAGAUGAAAGCCCUAUGGUUGUUAUAAUGAGCUUACAUGACCCAAGGAUCACUUUGAAGCAAUUUGGCCAAGUGUUGAAGGCUCAGAACUCAUCAGUGCAUGUGCAAGUCAUCUGAAGCCCAUAAAAGUCAACUGCAAAGUCAACUGUGGAUUUGGAGGUGGGAAGUGGUUAGAGAUGCUUCAUUCAUGUUCAAACAAGUCUCAUUUGACAUUUGAAACACUUACAUUGAAGAAUUUGAAGUCAAGUCAAGAAUUUCCCAAAAUAGAAAGUGACCCAUAAUUUGGAAUUUCCAAAAAUGGCAAGGUUUUGGACCAACUUCAACUCAAUUUUAAAUCAUCAAUAAAGCUUCAAAUGAAAUUUUGUCCAACAUGCAAGUUGAAGAUCUUUCUCUCCCAUUUCUAAAAAGUCCAAGAUCAUGGAUUUAUGAUGUGUGGUUGAGGAGAUAUGAUCCAAUCAUGGCAAAGUGUGCUUAAAAUUUCAAAUGGGCAUAACUUUUGAACCAAGGCUCCAAUUUGGGUGGUUCUUUUUGCAUUUUGUUCAUCAUGACAUGCACUUUCCAAACAUAUCAUUACAUAGCAUGAAUUUCACUUGCAUGAUCAUGUGCUCACUUAUGAAGUUUUUGGAAGAAAAAUUUCUAAAAUCAAUUUGGUUGAUCAUAUGCUUAAAAAACCAUUUCCAAAGUGUGCAUGGGUUAUUUUUAAGUGGUUUUGGGCCUUAUGUUGGUACUGUUCACGCAUGCAUGAAGGGCAUAAGGUGAAAAUCCAAUUUUGUGCACACGCCUCAUAACUUGCUAAUCUCAAUUGGUUUUGGCUUAAACAUGUUUUCAGUAUCAUUAGCAAGACAUAUAUAUUGUUAAUCACAAUUGCAUUUGGCAUUAACCACAGUUUUCAGAUCUAGAUCUCAAAAUCAACAAAAAAUUUCUCUCAAAAAUAUUUCCAAAUUCUUCACACAAAAGCCAUUUCUAUUGAUGGAUUCAUGAUCAGGAAGUAUUUUUGAGGCAAAUUGAACGUGGACUUGGAUCAAAUCGUGCUAGUUUGGACCAUACUCGAAGCUUGAAGGUUCAAUGGAGUUUGCAAAAUCUACUGGAUUCACGUGCGUUUGAGCUUCAUUUUUUCCAUCAAUCAUCUCCACAAGCAUCAUAGAGGAGCUUUGGACCAUUACAAGCCUUGGAUAACGCGAUUCAAAGGUGCUGCUCUUCAAGAGGUUGAUUUUCGAUCUCAUCUAUUCUCCAAUUCAUUAUGAUAUUUGUAUAGAUCUUUGAUUGGUGAUCAUUCUGGUAUAAAAUUUGAGUGAAAUGACGUAUUAUUCAUGAAGAUACAUGCAUUUGAAGUUUUGAUGUCAAUUUUUCUUUUCUUCGAUUUGAGCGAUGCUUGAUGUUUUAGUGUGAAUUGUGGUUUGAUCUUGCAUGUACAUGAGCCAAGGAUUCGAUUGAUGUAAUUAUUUUUGAUUUCUGGAAUGGUUUUGAAAAAUCUGGAAAUUUGCAUUUGAAGUUCAUCUUCAUCUUCAUGAGGAAGAUGAAGAUCAUCACGUUUUCCAGAACUUGCUAUGAGUCUGCUAGGAUUUAGCUACGAAAUGUUCAUGAGUUAGCUACGAUUUCUGGAGAUUUUCCAGGCUUAGGGUUUUGCACCAAAACGCUGUCGUUUUGGUGGAGCGCCAAAUUCAAAUCUGGACCAGGUUCGAUCCUGGCCGAGCGCGUUUUUUCAAAUGCUUCAUGAUUUUCACCUUUUCCCUCCCUUUGACCAUGCUUGUUCAUGUUUUGAUUUCAAGUUUUUCCCAAACUUCAUAAAAUCAUAACAAAUUGAAAACUCAUCCAAUUUAAUCCCAAUUUUUUGCAAAAUGCUCUUUAUUCUGUCUAGUUUUUUAUGAUCAUAAAUUGGAAAAUUGUGCAUGGCUGGAUUUUAUUUGGUUCUAGGUUAUGUGAGCAUGUAUCCAUUUUUGACCUUGCCUUGUUUAUCUUGUUGUGAAAUGCUUGUUUCUUAUCCAAUGAACCUGAAAUUUUGCAUGCUAAUUCUAGACACAUUAAUGGACAUUUUGGCUUUGGUUUGACAUUUUUCCCAUGCUCCAUUUCUGUUUUAUGCUUGUGUUAACUUGGUGUGACAAUUUGUGUCACACAUUUGAUUGUUUGACUUGUACAAUGUGAUUUCCAUGCCAAAUGAUCUCCAAUGGUUAUGAUUUUUUGUGUGAUGGAUGUUGUGGAUGUCUUGAUUGCUCAUGAAUUUUUCCAGAAUUAUUUGAAUCAUUUCUGUUUUGAUUGAGAAUUUUCAUUCAUGUUGAUCAUUUGGAUGCCUUGAAUUGGUCUUUGAUUUAUCUUGCACAUAAAAUGAACUUGCCUAGUGAUUUUACUUUGGUUCUUUUUAGGAUUUACUCUUGAUUGAUUAAAUAUGAUCCAUGUUGAGUUUGAGGUUCUGUUUUGGAUUUUUGAUCCUCUUUUGACCCUAGGCUUUGACCUAGUGGUUUGGACUUACCAUUUGGGUUAUGAAUUUCAGGUUCAAGUGUACAUUUCCAUGAUUGGAGUGGCUCCUUCAUUUAAGCUUAGUCAAUUGUUGUCAUGUGCUAACCUUUGUGUGUUUUGUAGGCUUUGAGAACAAUUCACUUGUGCUUGUGGCUUGCUCAUUGUUGUCUAAUGAUGCUUUGUCUGUCUGUUUGUUAUUAACUGUUGAUUGUUUGUCUGUACAGUUAAACUGAUUGGUUUAGCUAUUUCCACAGGUACCUAAGUUGCUUUGAGUUCAUUUGAACUUGCUUGGCAUUGCUUGUGGUUUGCAUACCACUAAGGUAUAAUUCCUUGACUUCAUGUAGUCUGGAAGACCUAUUGUUAUUGGUAGGCACCUGUCUGAAGCCCUCCUUAAGAGGCAAUGUUUGUGAAUGUUUAAUUUUGUGCCAAGCAGGUAAAGACCUCUUAAGAGGCAAUUGACAGAUGGAAGGGAUAUGCAAUCCAUCCCCUGCUAUUCAGUUGUGUCACUCACUUUGCUCACACACCAUGUGUUGACGCAUUGUGAGUAAGAGCCCAAAAUCUAGUCCAUAGAGUCAGUCAUCUGUGGAGAAGAGUUCCUACAUUCUGAACUCCCACACUUUCUAUUUUGAGUCAAGCUCUCCCAGGCCAGGGAUAAGAGCUGUGAGGUCUUAUCCUCACUUCCCAUUUCAUCUGCUUAUCAUCUGCUUCACCCUAACUCUCAAUGUUAGGGUUAAGAGCUAAAAACACCCCAUUCCAGUUGGCUUGUUUCUGCAGCCUAACCUUGUAUGAGCCCAAUUGUUUGCAUAUAGUGUGUGUGCUUGCUUUAUUGUACUUGUGUUUGCUCAAUUGUGCUGUUUAGGAUAGCUUGCUUCCUGUGCAAGUUAGGAUAGAAACCUCAACCUAGGACCAUUGUGGAUUACAUGAUAACUAUUAGGCUCGAGUCAGGCUCCCUUCUAGUUUGUAAUUUCCCAGUCUCUAGUUAGGUUAGAAGUUCUUUCCCUGUUUAGGGGAACUACGUCGCCCUGAUCCUCAUACCAGAUGAGGUACGUAGGCAGGAGAUGAGCUGAUCUCUCCGGGCGCCCUUUUUCUUUUGCAACCCUUUGCGUGUGUUGGAGUCUGACAUAAGUCCAGCGAUUGGCAGUUGGUUUCCUGUGUCUUGUUUGCUUGUUGGAGUCUGACAUAAGUCCAGCGAUUGACAGUUGGUUUCCUGUGUGUGUGUUUGUUGGUUCGGAGUCUGAUAUAAGUCCAGCGAUUGGCAUUCGAUUUCCAUGUUCGCCUGUUUGUGUGGCGUCUGACGUAAGUCCAGCGAUUGGCAGUCGGUUUCCUGUGUGGUCUUGUUUGGCGUGCGUUAGCCGAGCUACGAGUGCUCUGAUUCUUCUCUGAUUAGAGAAGAUACGUAUGCAUAGGAUGCGACAUCCUAGCGAGCACGUUUCCCCUGUCCCGGAACUACGUCGCCUCUGAUGUCUGUGUCUGAUAGACUACGUAGGCCCAGGAUGCGAUAUCCUGCCGAGUNCAAUAUCCUGCCGAGUCCUGUUUCUUUUGUCUUUCUGUGUUUCCUUCCAGCCUUGUGCAGUUUGUGAGCAGUUUUAGCAACCUUUCUUCUUCCUUUCGAGCGUGGAUCCCAUCGAGUACGACGGAUGCGUAGGGCUGCUAAUACCUUCCCUUCGCAUAACCGACUCCCGUACCCAUCCAUCUCUGGUCGCGAGACCAUGUCUUUUCCAGGUUUACUUCGAGCGUUUCCUUUCCCUCUUUUGGGAUAAAUAACGCACGGUGGCGACUCUGUUAUUUUGUUUUCCCGCCGGUUUUUCGCGUAAUGCGACAGCUGGCGACUCUGCUGGGGACUAAAGAGAAGUUGACCUCUUGCUGGUCCAUCUUCCCUAAGCGAGUCACUCCUAGCGCUCUCUAGGAUAAGGUUUGGUUGCUUUUACUGUUUCAUUUAUUGCAUUUAUGAUUAUGAUGUGAUUGUUUAUGUUUGCAUUCAUCAUAUUUUCAUCAGUGCUGGCUGUGUGUUUGUCUCUCUGUGGGGUGGGAGUUCCAAGAGGUAAAAGGCCCAAUACCCAGGCUAUGAGUGAACUUUAGGACACCUAGGAAUAGAGUGAUUCAUGGGAAGCGGGUGGUAUUGCGCCACUUAGCGGAACUUGAUAUCACGAGCAGUUCAGAUCCUUAUGGGGUAUUAUCGGUGCAUACAUCGGGUGUGUACAUGAUGAUAUUCUAUGAAAGGGUUGUUUAUCCUGCGUUUCUCUUGACCUUACCCUGGCCUAGAUGACACCCGUGAGUGGGGAGGGAAUGAAUCAUUUUACAGGUACCGUUGGUGACUUGUUGGUGACUCUUGGUUCCUGUUGGUGACUUGGUUCUGAGAUAUAUGGGUUCCAGAUGACUUUGGGUCUCAGAUGACUUUGUGGUUCCGAAUUCAGGCCGAAGCUUUGAACCUGUGCUCCGUAACACACAGCCAACCAGUCGCGUUUGCAUCAUUUGCAUCAUAGCAUAUUUAUUUUCAAAAAAAAAAAGUAAUGCAAAAAAAAAGAAAGAAAGAAAAGAAAAGAAAAAAAGCUAAUCUCCUCAUGCAUAUCAUUUCUCAGGUUUAUUUGGGAGUCUGUUCACUGUGAGAGAUGGCAUCCGUUCCAGAGUUGAAGAGGAAGACGUGCACCUACAGUUUUCACCGUGAGCCAUUGACGUCUUUGAUAGAGUUGAGCAACUUUGUGACCGGCGGUAAUCAGAAGGUGUUUGUUGAUCAGUAUGGGGAUUUGUUGACACUGUUGAAGAUGGUGGUAGAUCCAGUACCGUUGCAGACUCUUCUACAGUUCUAUGACCCAGAGCUCCGUUGUUUCACUUUCUAGGAUUAUCAGUUAGCGACCACUCUUGAGGAGUACUCCAUUCUGAUGAAUGUCCCGAUCAGAUAUCAGGUGCCUUUCUUCGAUGUUCCAAAGGAGGUUGAUUUCAGAGUCAUUGCCAGAGCUCUUCAUUUGAGUAUCAAAGAAGUGAGUGAAAAUUGGAAGUCAAGUGGUGAUGUUGUGGGGUUUCCUUUGAAGUACCUGAUGAGGAUGGCUAAAGAAGAAACAAAGAAGGGAAAUUGGGAAGCUUUUCAUGCUCAGUUGGCUACUAUGAUUUAUGGGGUGGUGUUGUUUCCGAGUAUGCCUAAUUUUGUGGACUUUGCUGCUAUCACUAUCUUCAUCAGAGGAAAUCCAGUUCCUACUUUGUUAGCUGACACUUACUAUGCUAUUCACAGCAGGCAUGGUAAGGGUGGAGCUAUCAGAUGCUGUCUCCCUUUAUUGCUCAGAUGGUUCUUGUCUCUUCUGCCAGCCAGUGGACCUUUUGUAGAUGCUCAGAGCACUCAUAAGUGGACUCAGAGGAUUAUGUCUCUUACCUCCUAUGACAUCAGGUGGCAAUCUUACCGGAUGGAUGUGCGUAAUGUCAUCUUGAGUUGUGGAGAGUUUCGUAAUGUGCCACUCAUAGGGACUAAAGGUUGCAUCAAUUACAACUCGGUUCUUUCUCUUCGCCAGUUGGGGUUUGUGAUGAAUGGAAGACCACUAGAUGCUGAGAUAGCAGAAAGUGUGUAUUUUGAGUAGCGGAGUGACCCGGCUAGAUUGGAGCAAGUGGGAAGAGCUUGGAAGACUAUUGGUGUCAAGGAUGGAGCUGUGUUAGGGAAGAAGUUUGCCAUUGCUAUGCCUGAUUACAUUGAUUGGGUCAAGAGAGUUGAGACUUUGUUAUUGCCCUAUGAUAGGAUGGAGUCUUUGCAAGAGCAACCACCUUUGAUCCUUGCGGAGAGUGUGCCUGCUGAGCACUACAAGCAAGCCUUGAUGGAGAAUCGUCGGUUGAAGGAGAAGGAACAAGAUACCCAGAUGGAGCUCUACAAAGCCAAAGCUGACAAGUUGAACUUGGCUCAUCAACUCAAAGGCAUGCAGGGUGAAGAUGCUAGCAGAUUGAAGAGCAAGAAGAGGUCUUAUGAGGAGUUAGAGACAUUGCUGAAUGAAGAACACCGUGAGUGUUUGAGGUUGCAGAAAGCUGAAGCUAAUUAUCAGAAGAAGAUAAGGGAUUUGGAAAAGCAGCUCAGAGACAAAGAUGUCCAGUUGAAGAAGGAGGUAGACUUGAGACGUGCAUCAGAGAGCCAGCUUGGAGGAGAAGUUGUGGAGCUCAGAAGGCAACUGAAGGAGAAGCUCACGCCUUUACCAGAGUGUUCAGAAUGUGACUUGUUGAUAGACCAGUGCCAGUAUCUGAAGACGCUCAUUCCUGGAGGACAUCUUUCCUAGCUUGUAUUCGUUGUUUAUGUUGAGAAUCACCUCCAGGAUUGUUGGAUGGGAUUCAUUGUUGUACCCUGAUCAUUUGGAUCUUUGCUUGAAUAUUGUUGUAUGAUCCUAGUUGCUCAUGUAUAUAGAUGAGAUUGUUGAUGUUUUACCUCGUGCUCAUUAUCCCGUGUAGUCUGCUUCUGUGUUGUUCAUUGUUGCAGGUUGCCAUCUUUUUAAAGAUGAAUUAGGCUUUUGAAUGCCUGAGAAAUGAACAUAUCAUGUGCAUCAUACGCAUCAUUAGCAUCAUACACAUAUCAUUCUUGCAUUACAGGUGUUCUUGAGCAAGACUUCUCAUUCUGGUUCCUAUUUCAGGCAGGAUUGCUGAUCAACGUCCGCACCCUACUCUACGAGGUUGAAUCAACAGAGGAAUAUGGAUCAAGUGCAAACUGAGUUAGCAGAGAUGAGGGCUAACAUGGCCCAGUUCAUGCAUAUGAUGCAAGGGGUUGCGCAAGGUCAAGAAGAACUUCGAGCCCUAGUCCAGAGACAAGAAGCUGCAAUUCCACCGGUCAACCAUGCUUUGCCAGAGGGAGGCCCAGUCAAUGACCCUGCUACUGCUGCUGUUCCCAUCAACAACUAUGCUGUGGGUGAUGAGUUGAGGGGUAUCAGAAUCAACGGUCAACCUAUUGCUCUAGAGACAGUUAAUGCCAGAGUGACUCGUGCUCCAAUCCGUAAUCCUGCUCCAUUGGUUGAUAGGCAGGAGGAUAUGUUUACUCUCCUCAGUGAGGAUGAUGAAGUUGUGGGAAGAACUGACGAAAGGGAUAGGAGGGUUGAUGCCCUAGCUGAGAAGAUCAGAGCCAUGGAGUGUCAGAACUCUUUGGGGUUUGAUGUUACAAAUAUGGGAUUGGUUGAAGGGCUGAGGAUCCCUUAUAAGUUCAAGGCACCUUCUUUUGACAAAUACAAUGACACUUCUUGUCCUCGCACUCAUGUGCAGGCCUACUACAGAAAGAUCUCUGCCUACACAGAUGAUGAGAAGAUGUGGAUGUACUUUUUCCAGGACAGCUUAUCUGGAGCUUCCUUGGAUUGGUACAUGGAGCUGAAGAGGGAGUCCAUCAGAAGUUGGAGAGAUCUGGGGGAAGCCUUUCUGAGGCAAUACAAGCAUAAUAUGGACAUGGCGCCGAGUCGAACUCAGUUACAGAGCUUAUGUCAGAAGUCUGGAGAGAGUUUCAAAGAGUACGCCCAGAGAUGGCGUGAAUUAGCUGCAAGGGUGCAACCUCCGAUGCUGGAGAAGGAGUUGACCGAUAUGUUUAUUGGGACUUUGCAAGGAAUAUUUAUGGACCGGAUGGGAAGUUGCCCGUUUGGUAGCUUUUCUGAUGUGGUGAUUUGUGGAGAAAGGACAGAGAGUCUCAUUAAAGCUGGAAAGAUUCAGGACGCUGGUUCUUCAUCUUCAAAGAAGCCAUUUUCUGGAGCACCCAGAAGAAGAGAGGGAGAGACCAAUGCUGUGCAACACAGAAGAAAUAUGAAUAGCGGACAUUAUCGCCAGGUUGCUGCUGUGACCAUCCCAGCACCUCAACCACGACAACAGCAACAACAAAGAGCACCACAACAACAACAACAGCAACGUCCAUUUCAGCCGAGACAGAGAAUGCCGGAUCGUCGUUUCGACCCGUUGCCUACGACAUACGCUGAGUUGCUGCCCGAAUUGCUCAGAUUGGGGUUUGUUGAGUUGCGUACAAUGGCUCCGGUGACGAAGAUACCACUUGGGUAUGAUACCAACAUUCGUUGUGAUUUCCACUCCGGUGCACCGGGGCACCAUAUUGAGAAUUGUCGGGCUUUUCAUCAUAAGGUCCAGGACUUAAUUGACGCCAAAACAAUCAAUUUUGCUCCUGUGCCUAAUGUUGUGAACAAUCCUAUGCCUCAGCAAUUGAGAAUUGUCGGGCUUUUCAUCAUAAGGUCCAGGACUUAAUUGACGCCAAAACAAUCAAUUUUGCUCCUGUGCCUAAUGUUGUGAACAAUCCUAUGCCUCAGCAUGGUGCGCAUAGGGUGAACAGUGUGGAAGAUGGAGAAGUUGUGGACCUGGUAGUUGAUGUUGAAGAUGUCCAGACGUUGCUGUUUGUUGUGAAAAAGCGUCUGUUGGAUGAGGGAGUGUUCCCGGGUUGUGCUGAGGUUUGUUCAGACUGUGAAUACUCCGAGAAUGGGUGUAUAUAGUUGAAGAAUGGUAUCCAGGGACUGAUUGAUGAGGGUUGUUUGCAGUUUGCUAGGGCUGUGAAAGAACGUGGGAUGGUGUCAACUGUUACCAUUUAUUUCAAACCGUCUGAAGGGCGUGGCCAGAGAACUGUCAAUGCACCUGCAACCGUUGGUACUCCUGUUACCAUUUCUGCCCCAGUAACUGUCAGUGCUCCCACUACUAUUGCUGUGUCUGGUAGAAGGGCUGUUGAGAACAGUAGGGCCGUGCCGUGGAAGUAUGACAAUGCUUACCGCAACAACCGAAGGGCAGAAUGUCAGAUCAGGCCGGUGAAUCAGGCUCUAGUGACUAUUGGUUUGCCGAGUAGAGCUCCUGUGACUGUGGGUCCGGUUGUGGACAAUGUAGGGGGACCAGGAGGUUUCACAAGAAGUGGUCGU